rnacentral:rRNA from 1 species
UAGGGAAUCUUCCGCAAUGGGCGAAAGCCUGACGGAGCAACGCCGCGUGAGUGAUGAAGGUCUUCGGAUCGUAAAACUCUGUUAUUAGGGAAGAACAAAUGUGUAAGUAACUAUGCACGUCUUGACGGUACCUAAUCAGAAAGCCACGGCUAACUACGUGCCAGAAGCCGCGGUAAUACGUAGGUGGCAAGCGUUAUCCGGAAUUAUUGGGCGUAAAGCGCGCGUAGGCGGUUUUUUAAGUCUGAUGUGAAAGCCCACGGCUCAACCGUGGAGGGUCAUUGGAAACUGGAAAACUUGAGUGCAGAAGAGGAAAGUGGAAUUCCAUGUGUAGCGGUGAAAUGCGCAGAGAUAUGGAGGAACACCAGUGGCGAAGGCGACUUUCUGGUCUGUAACUGACGCUGAUGUGCGAAAGCGUGGGGAUCAAACAGG